AAAAUUCUCACCCUUUUAAUAUCAAGGGAUGGUGAGGGCAUGCAUUUUUUUCCAGGCAAAUUCCAUAUUGUAUAUCAUUUGUAAAAACAUUGACUAACUGCCUCUUUUAAAAAUCAGGGAGUGCAUUGCACUCAGGCACACAGAAAAGAGGUAGCAUCACUUCAGUGAGCAGAACUAUCUUAUCCGUAAGAUUUCCUCCAGCAAGGUGCGCUGCUGUGUUUGGGCUGCAAGUAAUUAACCUCAUCGCUCAUCAGAGGACAUGGACUGAGCACCGGCCUCUGUGUGCGAGGACUGGCAAGGUGCAGAGUUACUGAGAUCUGGAAACCCCAUCUCCCCUCUCCAGGAAAUUACAUGCACAGGAAUAAUACAAAGAAACAAAGGAGGGACUGGAGAACACAAAGCAGCAAUGUGGGGAAGGGAGGAGGCAGUGCCCACAGGAAGCCAGGGUGAGGUCCACUCCCUGCUCUCCAGCAGGCCCUCAGUGCCUCUCAGUUCUGAUAUGCUUUGGCUGUGUCCCCAACCAAAUCUCAUCGUGAAUUGGAGCCCUCAUAAUUCCCAACUGUUGUGGGAGGGACCAGAUGGAGAUCAUUGAAUUAUGGGGGUGGUUUUGCCCAUACCGGUCUUGUGGUAGUGAAUAAGUCUCAUGAGAUCUGAUGGUUUUAUAAAUGAGAAUUUCCCCACACAAGCUCUCUUGCCUGAUGCCAUGCUUCUUCUUUGCCUUCCACCAUAAUUGUGAGGCCUCCCCGGCCAUGUGGAACUGUGAGUCCAUUAAACCUCUUUUUCUUUAUAAAUUACCCAGUCUCGGGUAUGUCUUUAUUAGCAGCAUGAGAACAGACUAAUACAAGCUCCAUCCCCAAGCCUGGCCUUCCACGUGCCACCCCUUCCCAUUGGAAGAGCUCCCUCAUUCUCUGCUGACAAACUCCCACCUGUCUGAAGGUGGCAACAAUGGCAUCUCCUUCUGAAGAAGCUGGCAACAAUGGCAUCUCCUUCUGAAGAAGCUGGCAACAAUGGCAUCUCCUCAGACAGCCCUUCUGGACGACUGCCCCCUCUGCUACCCUGGGUCCCCCUUAGUCUCUCCUGGUAUAUACCUACCUAACAGAGUUGUUGUCAGACUGAGCAAGCCUAGAUGCAGGGAACUCAGGGCAGUGCAGCUACGGUGGAUGCCGCCUUCCCUGGAAUAUCACUCCCACCCUUCAAUUCAUUCCGCCAUUGUUUUCAGUGGUGUCUCCUGCCUCUUAUCCUUUCUCACGGAAUUCGCUGUGUUGGGAUGCCCUCCACUAACCUGGCUGACUUCUUUAUCCUUCAAGACCUUUGAGAUGCACCUUAAAUGCCAGUCCUCUGCGGAAGCUGACCUCAGAGCUCCAGUCUGCAUUCCUCCCUGCAUGCUGCGUGUACCUCUGUAACAGCACUUAGUUCCCCUUCUCCUGGUGAACUCCAGUAUUGCCCAUCUUUGCAACCGAAGACCUACC
rnacentral:lncRNA from 10 species